UACGAAGGGGGCUAGCGUUGUUCGGAUUUACUGGGCGUAAAGCGUACGUAGGCGGAUCGUUAAGUCGGGGGUGAAAUCCUGAGGCUCAACCUCAGAACUGCCUUCGAUACUGGCAAUCUCGAGUCCGGAAGAGGUUGGUGGAACAGCUAGUGUAGAGGUGAAAUUCGUAGAUAUUGGCUAGAACACCAGUGGCGAAGGCGGCCAACUGGUCCGGUACUGACGCUGAGGUGCGAAAGCGUGGGGAGCAAACAGG
rnacentral:rRNA from 1 species